AAAAGUUUGACUCUGGCUAUUUGUUUUCUAUUUGAUUUAAAUGCAUGUAAAUAUAAAUAUGACAACUUGUUUUUUCUAAAAGGGAAAGGUUUUAAAGUAAAAUUGUUUAUAAUAUUUUAAUUCUCAGCAUAUAAUAUUAGUUUAUCAGUGUAAGCUGGAACUAGAAAUUCUUCUUAAACCUGGCUAAAUUUGUGCCAGCCGCCGCGGUUAUACUGUGAGGUUAAGUAAAUAAAAUUUGGUUAAAAAAGAUUAUUAUCAAGAUUAUUAAAAUAAUAAUAAGAAAUUAGGUAUAGGUGAAAUAAAUAACUAAAAUAUUAUUGUUAUGUAAAAAAUGUAUAAGAAGUCUAAAAACUUAAGAUAUAGACCAGGAUUAGAUACCCUGUUAUACUUUAAUGAAAUGUUUUAAACCGGGGUAGUAUAUAGUUAUUGUCUCGAAACCCAAAGAGUUUGGCGGUAUCUCAGUCUAGUUAGAGGAGCUUGUUCGGUAAUCGAUAAUCCGCGCAAUAUCUUACGUGUUUUUGUAGUCAGUUUAUAUACCGUCGUUAUUAGAUAAUACUAAAAAGUAAAUAAUUAUCUAAAUAUAUUAAGUUAUAAUAUAUCAGAUCAAGGUGUAGCUUAUAGACACGUCUGAAUGAGCUACAAUUUAGUUAAAUGAAAACGGAUUUUGUUUUUAAAUAAAUAAAUAAAGGUGGAUUUAAUAGUAAUUGUAAUUUUAAUAAGUUAUAAUGGUAUUAGCUCUGAGAUAUGUACACAUUGCCCGUCGCUCUCACUACAAGGUGAGAUAAGUCGUAACAUAGUAGGGGUGCUGGAAAGGGCCCCUAGAAUA
rnacentral:ncRNA from 1 species